GUUUGCUUCUUCAGUUACGAUUCGCACCGCCGCCGUUUAGGCCGUGUCUCCUACCGGCGCCGACCACCAUGGGGGGCCGAUGUUCCAGUCAAUGAUGUGCAUGCUUUCAGCAUCGGGAAAACAACAUUCAUGUGUGGAAUAUGUUGGCUCCAAGUAUGGGUUGCCCCUCACAUGACAUGCAAAAUUAACGACCAGAUGGCUGGGCCUACAGAUUCCGGAGCAGAAACAUGAUCAUCUUGACAUUAGGGGAAUCAUGUGUGUUAGCAGUUGGCAUGAGUAAUGUAAUACUACAGGCAAUAUGUGCCUUUUGGUUUUAGGAGUAACACCCUGUUGAGUUUAGCACAUCAGAACUAUAAUUGUUGUUACA